GGAGGGAUGCCGGAGAGGCCUAACGGCGCUGAUUCGAAAUCAGAUGGGGGCGAUCCGCCCCACGUGGGUUCGAAUCCCACUCCCUCCG
rnacentral:tRNA from 1 species